GAUGAAGAACGUAGCGAAAUGCGAUAAGUAGUGUGAAUUGCAGAAUUCAGUGAAUCAUCGAAUCUUUGAACGCACAUUGCGCCCCUUGGUAUUCCAUGGGGCAUGCCUGUUCGAGCGUCAUUUGUACCUUCAAGCUCUGCUUGGUGUUGGGUGUUUGUCCUUGCUCUAGUGGCGGGACUCGCCUUAAAGUAAUUGGCAGCCAGUGUUUUGGUUUUGAAGCGCAGCACAAGUCGCGAUUCAAGUCUAUACGCUAGUUUCCACAAGUCUUUUAUCACUUUUGACCUCGGAUCAGGUAGGGAUACCCGCUGAACUUAAGCAUAUCAAUAAGCGGAGA
rnacentral:misc_RNA from 1 species